rnacentral:lncRNA from 1 species
UCCCCAUCUCGUAUCUUCCUCCGUCCAGCUCCUCUACUCUCCCGUACUCCUCCUCUCUUCUCCCUCCCUCCCGAUCUCUCCACCUCCUCUCUCUCCCUCCUCAGAGCACCGCGACCCGACUCCAAGGCGCCCCCGAUGGCGGCCACCGACUGCCACGGCGCCACCCCGCCUCCCCACGUCUCCACUAGGCUGCAUCCGGCACGCCGCCGUGGGAUUCGGCCGCCCUCUGGCCGGCGUCACCGGAUCCACCCGCCCUGGAUCCCCGGCGGGCGCCUCUCCCCUUCUCCGACCCCGACCGCCGCCAGGUACGCCAGAUCCGGCGACCUCGACCCUGGAUGCUGCCGGAUCUGGCGCCCCCGACCCCGCGCACCACCGAAUCCCCCUCUCCCUCUCACGUUAGUCUCUCUCUAUCUCUUCUCUCUCUACCUCUCUCGAUUUCUUCUCUCUCCCUCGAUCAAUUUCACUACCGCAGAUCCUCAUCGGCGCCCAUGAGGACGAGUAGGCCGGGCGGCAGCUCCUGUAGAGCCGGCGUCCCCGACCUCAGCCACCGUCGUGGAGAGCCAGAAGCACAGCCAUCGCCGUCGUGGAGCCGGAACCGCAGCCAUCGCCGUCAUGGAGCAGUUGCAGAUUUUUUUUAAUUGUUUGUCCAUUUUCUCUCCUGUGUACCAGUUCUUGUGUGAUCAGUCUGAUUUUGUAAGAUGCUAUAGCCUGUGAUUUUCUGAUUUGUUCAUCCGCGACCAUAGUUUGCAGGCCACAGGCUUGUUUUUUUUAAAUCACGAGAAUGUUAUCAAUGGCGGGC